rnacentral:rRNA from 1 species
AUGAACGCUGGCGGCGUGCCUCAUACCUGCCAGUCGAGCGAACAGACGAGGAGCUUGCUCCUCUGACGUUAGCGGCGGACGGGUGAGUAACACGUGGAUAACCUACCUAUAAGACUGGGAUAACUUCGGGAAACCGGAGCUAAUACCGGAUAAUAUAUUGAACCGCAUGGUUCAAUAGUGAAAGACGGUUUUGCUGUCACUUAUAGAUGGAUCCGCGCCGCAUUAGCUAGUUGGUAAGGUAACGGCUUACCAAGGCAACGAUGCGUAGCCGACCUGAGAGGGUGAUCGGCCACACUGGAACUGAGACACGGUCCAGACUCCUACGGGAGGCAGCAGUAGGGAAUCUACCGCAAUGGGCGAAAGCCUGACGGAGCAACGCCGCGUGAGUGAUGAAGGUCUUCGGAUCGUAAAACUCUGUUAUUAGGGAAGAACAAAUGUGUAAGUAACUAUGCACGUCUUGACGGUACCUAAUCAGAAAGCCACGGCUAACUACGUG